rnacentral:rRNA from 1 species
CAGCUCGUGUUGUGAAAUGUUGGGUUAAGUCCCGCAACGAGCGCAACCCUUAUCCUUUGUUGCCAGCGAUUCGGUCGGGAACUCAAAGGAGACUGCCGGUGAUAAACCGGAGGAAGGUGGGGAUGACGUCAAGUCAUCAUGGCCCUUACGAGUAGGGCUACACACGUGCUACAAUGGCGUAUACAAAGAGAAGCGACCUCGCGAGAGCAAGCGGAACUCAUAAAGUACGUCGU